GACGAACGCUGGCGGCGUGCUUAACACAUGCAAGUCGAACGAUGAAGAAAAGAAUCGAAGCUUCGGCAGAAAUUCAUUUCGGAUUAGUGGCAGACGGGUGAGUAACGCGUGAGCAACCUACCUCUUACAAAGGGAUAGCCUCGGGAAACCGGGAUUAAUACCAUAUAACAUUGCGACGAAGCAUUUCGAUGCAAUCAAAGCUACGGCGGUAAGAGAUGGGCUCGCGUCCCAUUAACCGGAUGGUGAGGUAACGGAUCACCAUAGUGACGAUGGGUAACCGGCGUGAGAGGGUGAACGGUCACACUGGAACUGAGACACGGUCCAGACUCCUACGAGAGGCAGCAGUGGGGAAUAUUGCACAAUGGAGGGAACUCUGAUGCAGCGACGCCGCGUGAGUGAUGAAGGAAUUCGUUUCGUAAAACUCUGUUCUAUGGGAAGAAAAGGACUGUACCAUAGGAGAAAGCGCCGGCUAAAUACGUG
rnacentral:rRNA from 1 species